GGCUCAGGAUGAACGCUAGCUACAGGCUUAACACAUGCAAGUCGAGGGGCAGCAGGAUCUUAGCUUGCUAAGAUUGCUGGCGACCGGCGCACGGGUGAGUAACGCGUAUCCAACCUUCCCUAGUAGGGCAUAGCCCGAUGAAAAUCGGAUUAAUACCCUAUGUUCUUCGUAGAUGACAUCUGACAUGAAGCAAAGAUUUAUCGCUAAGGGAUGGGGAUGCGUCCGAUUAGGUAGUCGGCGGGGUAACGGCCCACCGAGCCAUCGAUCGGUAGGGGUUCUGAGAGGAAGGUCCCCCACAUUGGAACUGAGACACGGUCCAAACUCCUACGGGAGGCAGCAGUGAGGAAUAUUGGUCAAUGGGCGAGAGCCUGAACCAGCCAAGUAGCGUGCAGGAAUGACGGCCCUAUGGGUUGUAAACUGCUUUUGUGCGGGAAUAAAGUCAGGGACGCGUCCCUGUUUGCAUGUACCGCAAGAAUAAGGACCGGCUAAUUCCGUGCCAGCAGCUGC
rnacentral:rRNA from 1 species